GUAGGGAAUAUUGCGCAAUGGGGGAAACCCUGACGCAGCGACGCCGCGUGAGUGAUGAAGGCCUUCGGGUCGUAAAGCUCUGUUGCAGGGGAAUAAAAAAAUGAAGGUACCCUGUGAGGAAGGAUCGGCUAACUUCGUGCCAGCAGCCGCGGUAAGACGAGGGAUCCUAGCGUUGCUCGGAAUCAUUGGUCGUAAAGAGGGCGUAGGUGGCUUGGUAAGUCAGGUGUGAGAGCCCAGGGCUCAACCCUGGAAGUGCAUUUGAUACUGCUGAGCUUGAGUGUCGGAGAGGUUACCGGAAUACCUGGUGUAGUGGUGAAAUACGUAGAUAUCAGGUGGAACACCGGAGGCGAAGGCGGGUAACUGGACGAACACUGACACUGAGGCCCGAAAGCGUGGGGAUCAAACAGGAUUAGAUACCCUAGUAGUCC
rnacentral:rRNA from 1 species